rnacentral:rRNA from 1 species
GGACUACUAGGGUUUCUAAUCCUGUUUGCUACCCACGCUUUCGUGCCUCAGCGUCAGUUAUGGUCCAGCAAGCCGUCUACACCGCAGGUGUUCCUCCUGAUAUCUACGCAUUUCACCGCUACACCAGGAAUUCCGCUUACCUCUCCCACACUCCAGCUUUCCAGUUUUCGGCGCACCCUCCCAGUUAAGCCGGGAGAUUUCACACCAAACUUAGAAAACCGCCUACGCACUCUUUACGCCCAGUAACUCCGAACAACGCUCGCUGCCUACGUAUUACCGCGGCGGCUGGCAC